AAAAAUGUGAAGCAACAGUAGUGAAUUUUGAGUUAAAAAGGGGUUUCAAGCAGAGGGCUGGGCAUAGAUCAUUACAGUAAAGGGGAAGAAACAAAAAUAACUAGGAAACACCUUUUUUCUAAUGUGGGAAAAUCAAGAAAUUUAAACAAAUGAGUACAACAUAGUACCAAGUUAAAAUUGGAUCUAUUAAGAGAGGGUAUCAAGUUAAAAUUGGAUCUUCUAUUCAAAUACUAUCAUUGAACAUACUUCCUUGCAUGGCGGUCUGCUG
rnacentral:misc_RNA from 1 species